rnacentral:rRNA from 1 species
AUUGAACGCUGGCGGCAGGCCUAACACAUGCAAGUCGAACGAGUGGCGGACGGGUGAGUAAUGUCUGGGAAACUGCCUGCUGGAGGGGGAUAACUACUGGAAACUGUAGCUAAUACCGCAUACCAUCGGAUGUGCCCAGGUGGGAUUAGCUUGUUGGUGGGGUAACGGCUCACCAAGGCGACGAUCCCUAGCUGGUCUGAGAGGAUGACCAGCCACACUGGAACGGAGACACGGGCCAGACUCAUACGGGAGGCAGCAGUGGGGAAUAUUGCGCAAUGGGCGAAAGCCUGAUGCAGCCAUGCCGCGUGUAUGAAGAAGGCCUUCGGGUUGUAAAGUACUUUCAGCGGGGAGGCGUUACCUGCAGAAGAAGCACCGGCUAACUCCGUGCCAGCAGCCGCGGUAAUUC